AACCUUUAAAUUCUAGAUUGUAGCAAUAAUGGAAGAGAUAGAAGACAUUUAUGUACAAAUACUAUUCCUUUUCCCAGCACCAAUAUACUUCUUUCUAUCACAGCUUCAGUUUAAAAGCAUUCAAGGAGUUUCUGAAGCCUACAGCUUGUGAAGAAGAGUGCCUCAUCUGCUGGAAGAACACACUUUACAUAAAAGAGGAUGAGAUUUGGAGAAUGAGAACAUUACUGGAGCCUGACGUGGGGGAAACCAACAAGCCAGGAAGGACGAAAUCAGUUGAGGGAGAUUUGAACCGCUACUCAAGUGUGCAGAGUACCAGGGAGAGCCCCAACAGGUCCUUGAGGAGGCAUCUAAGAACAACCCAAGCAAAUGCAAAUCCUGGAAGAGCAGCCUUCACGUCCAUUAUCUACAGCAUCACUUUUAUAACAUGCUUAGCUGUGUGGUUGCCGGCUCCGCAGAAGAUUAGAAGUGGAAAGUCGAGAGAGAAUAAAGGGUGGUGUCAGACAUCGUAAAACCGAGAGCAGAAAACCCCUUGAUGUGGCUAAAGGAACAGAAGGACCAAGAACCAUGCGCAACCAGUUACCCGCCAGGAAGUAGAGCACACUGUGACCAUGGUCCUGCAUAAACACCAGGCUCAUUAUGUUGAGUUAGGUGUUCUCCAUUUAAGAAACCAGAGGUGAAUAUAUAUUUGAAUGCUAUUUACACCAAUGUAGUUAAAUUUUCAAGGCAGCUAUUUUCAAAUAGACAAGGCUUAAUUAGUUAUAAAAUUUGCUAGGGGGAAAUGACCUACUUCUGCAAACUGAAAAUAAAAGAGAUGACUACACAAAAUGUUUUUUAUCU
rnacentral:lncRNA from 1 species